rnacentral:rRNA from 1 species
AUGAUUGUCGAUCAUCCAUAUCCAGAAUGCACUUCCUCAGUGCUUCAAGCUCUUAUGCUGUUCAAAGAACUACAUUAUGGUUACCGCACUAAGGAGAUAGAGAAGUGUAUCAGAGAUGCAGCAACAUUCAUUGAGAGCAGACAAGGAGAAGACGGUUCAUGGUUAGGCACUUGGGGUGUGUGUUUCACCUAUGGGGCCUUCUUUUCGGUUAAAGCAUUAGUUGCUGCUGGAAGAACAUACGAGAGCAGUUCUUCCAUCAGGAAAGGAUGCCAUUUCAUAUUAUCAAAGCAGCUCAGUACUGGUGGAUGGGGAGAAAGUCAUGUAUCUAAUGAAACAAAGGUAUAUGUCAACAUUGAAGGUGACCGUGCUCACGCAGUGAAUACUGCUUGGGCAAUGUUGACCUUAAUAUAUGCUGGACAGAUGGAACGAGAUCCAACACCACUUCACCGUGCUGCAAAGGAGUUGAUCAAUAUGCAGAUGGAUACAGGAGAAUUUCCACAGCAAGAACACGUCGGAUGCUUCAACUGCUCUCUUUUCUUCAAUUACCCCAACUACCGCAACCUGUUCCCCAUCUGGGCUCUCGGGGAGUACCGGCGCCGCCUUUGCUCGAAAAACAGUUGA